ensembl:lncRNA
UCUGGUGGCAGGGAGGGCCUGGAGAAGGAGUCAUAUUCACGGAGCCCAAUACCUGAACAGAGCUUCAAGUGUGGGCAUUGCUUGAAGGUUGGGAGAUUACUACCUCCCAUUUUCCCAGAUGGCCAGGAAACGACAGUGGGCAUUGGACCUAGGACUUUUACUCUCUGGAUCAGAAAGUUCAAUCUAAUACAGCUUUGGAUUCUCCAUAGCUUUUUGAUCACCUACAUCCUCUUGAACCUGAAGCAUCAUGGACUCUGUGGUCUAGGGCACACAUUCAGGAUGGAAGAGUGGUGGCCCAGACGAUUCCCAGGACCCUGCCAACUUUGUGUAACCAUCUCUAAUUCUAUAACACUCGCCAGUGGACUGUCACUUCAGAGACAAAUACAUUCUUAUUUGUUAAUUUAUUGUUCUUCAGCUUUCUCUCUUAUACAUAGCUAAACCAAAUUCUCACAAAAAGAUAUGUGCUUAUAUAUAUGUAAAGGGGCAUGAGAGACAAUUGGGAGUUAUAAAGCUAAUGAGUAUUCCACAGGCAAUUGUUAUCCAACAGAGGUCUUCAUGUCUUCUAGUUAAUUUCUUAAAAAGGUACACAGACACACAUAUUCAGCACUAAUACAUAACAAAAAUACUUUUAUGUGGAGAUGAGGCUAAAGAGGUAAAACUUCAAAAAGUAAAAGUUCUAUAAAUCUUUUCUAUGUAGUAACAAAAACAGGACUGUUAAUUCUAAAUGUUAAAAUUUAUGAGCUGUAUUUCCAGAUGGAUAUUAAAGCAUUUAAAUAUCCAUAUAAGUAAAAAGCAAUGACAUAGAAUUGCAACAAUGUGUCAUUACACUUGAUUUAUGAAUGACUUUAGUGGUGGAUUAGGGAAGAGAUGCUUCUCAUCAACCUUAUUUUUCACAUCUAGGUAACUAUUAAUGAGUGAUUUUCUAUUAGAAUGGCCCUGGUUGUCUAAUAGGUGAUUUAAUGUAUUGUGAUUCAUUUGCUUAAAGAAGUAAACAGUAAAACAAAAACCCCAGUGAGACGGGAUGAGAUUCUGCAGAGAUGUGAAGUUGUUAGUUGAUGUAUCUGUUACUUUGAUGAAGACCUCUUCUGCCCAAGCAUUUUAAGGAGGAUGAUAAACAACAAAGUUGGUAACCCAGAGUCCUUGACAGGAAAGAAGCUGUUUGAUAUAAAGGGGCAUGAAGUGCAUUUGAUUGAUUUUAGUUGGUAGUUUUCACAAAUCAUCCAUCUUAAUUUUGGAUACAUUAUCAAUAUAUUCAGUAAAUGUCACUUGUGAUGCCUAUCACAACAAUGACAUAGUUUUCCAUGAAAAGUUUAAUUUUGGGACAGGCGCUGUGGUGUAGUGGGCUAAGUCUCCUCCUGCAGUAGUAGUAUCCUGUAUGGGUGCCGGUUUGUGUCCCAGCUGCUUCUCUUCCCAUCCAGCUCUCUGCUAUGGCCUGGGAAAGCAGUAGAAGAUGGUCCAAGUGCUUGGGCCUCUGCACCAGCGUGGGAGAUGUGGAAGAAACUCCUGGCUCCUGGCUUCAGAUUGGCUCAGCUCCAGUCACUGUGGCCAUUUGGAGAGUGAACCAGCGGAAGGAAGACUUUUCUCUCUGUCUCUCCCUCUCUCUGUAACUCUAUUUCUCAAAUGAAUAAAUAAAAUCUUUUUAAACA